AUACGGAGGAUCCGAGCGUUAUCCGGACUUAUUGGGUUUAAAGGGUGCGCAGGCGGCCAUUUAAGUCAGCGGUUAAAUCGUGGGGCUCAACCCCAUUCUGCCGUUGAUACUGGGUGGCUUGAUUGCGGUCGAGGUUGGCGGAAUUCGUUGUGUAGCGGUGAAAUGCAUAGAUAUGACGAAGAACACCGAUUGCGUAGGCAGCUGUCCAGACCGCAAAUGACGCGCAUGCACGAAAGUGCGGGGAUCGAACAGGAUUAGAUACCCUGGUAGUCCGCACAGUAAACGAUGAAUACUUGUUUUCGGCGAUAUAAUGUCGGAGGCAAAGCGAAAGCGAUAAGUAUUCCACCUGGGGAGUACGCCGGCAACGGUGAAACUCAAAGGAAUUGACGGGG
rnacentral:rRNA from 1 species